UAAGUACAAGCAAAAAGCGAACUGGAAAUAUAUAAUCAAUUAGCACCCACACAACCAAAGAACAGAAAGGAGUUUUAUCAUCAUCUGUUUCUAGUUAUUUUUUCCUCAUUUCCUUUCCUCCUUUGCCGAUAUU
rnacentral:ribozyme from 1 species